rnacentral:lncRNA from 1 species
UGUGCCCUGGAGCCAUGAGCAGCUCUCAGUGCCCGCAGAGCCACCGGAGCAGCCUCCCAGCCACAGCCCCCCGGCACUCUUAGGCUUCCCUGCCCCCCUGGAAGGUGCUCAUCGCUGGCCAGGAGAACAGGCUGCACCUGCACCCAGCCUCCUGCAUCCCUCAAGGUUCCUUGCCUCACCAGCAGGUCCUUGUAGGAUUUCAGCUCUGUGCAUGAGUGGAAAGCAGAGGAGAGGCCAAAGCCCAGUGCACACCUGGCAUCUGAUCCCCCAGCAUCCUGCCUUCAUCUGACCCAGGUAGGUGCACCUGAGCUCGGAGCACUGCUGCAUGUG